rnacentral:tRNA from 1 species
GUGGUUGUGGUUCGGUGGUAGAGCACUUGCUUCGAAUGUAUGAAGCACUGGGUUUGAUCCUCAGCAUCACA